rnacentral:antisense_RNA from 1 species
CUUGAUGGAGCCGAGCAGCAGGGGCUGCCCCUCGGGCCGCUCCUGGCCGUAGGUGGCCAGCAGCGCCUGCGCCUC